GAGACACCCCUAUGGAGCAGGACUUGAUUCGUGGGGCUUUGGUGCUCACUGAGUCUGCCCCUUGAGUGUGUCAUU
rnacentral:pre_miRNA from 1 species